CCCGUCUGCAACUCCUCACUCCACCCAAAGGCACCUGCUACACAUGGUGCCCACACCUGGAGCAAAGUGGACCUCCAGGCCAAUCGUACGGACCUCCCCCACUUAAACCGACAGGAACGUGACCCGCCUCCACAACGAGUCCAUCUCCCUCGAAGGUGUCCAAAAGAUCAUCUCAAACAACAAUGCUUCCCUCCUCGCUCUAGCCUGAGCUGAACUCGUUGAGAAUCUUCGAUCAAACUCUCUCCGUCUCGGCUAUGGCUAUCACAGUCCAUCCUCUUCAGCUACAUCUUCGAUCCAUUUAUGGUUCGCCAUCAAGAGGAAGUCCAACGAGGAGCUCCAUGCUCAUCCGCCUUUCAUCUCAUGCAGAAGCAUGCAGUGGCUUCCAUGCAGCGACGAA
rnacentral:lncRNA from 1 species